ensembl:snoRNA SNORD58 Small nucleolar RNA SNORD58
UUGCAAUGAUGACUUUCUUAGGACACCUUUUGGAUUACCCAUGAAAAGAAAUGUGAACGAGGCUGAGCAAC